CACGGUGUGGUUGAAUGGAUUUUAAUUAAACAUACCGUCGCAAAUUUGAUAUUUUUGGAUAUUCCUAGUCUGUUUGCGACCCUGAACCACAUUCCACAAAAAAUUUUGAUUUUCAUCCGUGCAGUUCGGAGCACCCGGACCAAGGCUCCCUAGAGUGCUCUGUAGGUGCGAUAGAACUGAUUUGGGUCGCAAUCAAAAGGGUAUGGAAUUCUAAUAGUAAUAGCAUAAAAAAUUGGUCUCGUGGGUUCCAGAUAGGCUAGUAGCGACUCAUUGAAGUUGAAAAAUGACGAUUUUUGAAAGGUUCUACAGGCGGGGAUACUUGAGUCACAGACCUGGUAAUUACUUGUACUAGUAGAGUGACAUUACCUCUACCAAUAUCCAAAAAAUCAAUUUUUUUAAUUGUCUACAUAGCAACUUUCCAGGGGUCCAAAAUUUAUCUCUGCUAUUUGGCCAUAGUUGUUUUGCUGCUAGUCUCAGCUUUCUAAUAACACCACAUUUGCUGAAUCUCUGGUCAACAGUGCCGUUCUAUUGAGUGCCCAAGUGAGGUAAGUCCAUCUACGACGAAAUUUUGAGCAUGACUUCAUAAAACGGUAAUAAAUCACAAAUAUAGGUAUUAUUUUGCUUUUUUUAUUGAUAUAUAUAACUCUGUUUACAAAUCGCAAUUAAACAAACCCUCCCCACCGUUUUCUGAAGUCAUACUCAAAAUUUCGUCGCAGAUGAACUUACCUCACUUGGGCACUCAAUAGAACGGCACUGUUGACCAGAGAUUCAGCAAAUGUGGUGUUAUUAGAAAGCUGAGACUAGCAGCAAAACAAAAUUAAGCAGUUUGGUUGCGAAAAAUUAUCAUGAGUGUGAGUUAGGUGUCGGUGAGUUUCACAAAUAUGGCCAAAUAACAGAGAUAAAUUUUGGACCCCUGGAAAGUUGCUAUGUAGACCAUUUAAAAAAGUGAUUUUUUGGAUAUUGGUAGAGGUAAUGUCCCUCUACUAGUACAAGUAAUUACCAGGUCUGUGACUCAAGUAUCCCCGCCUGUAGAACCUUUCAAAAAUCGUCAUUUUUCAACUUCAAUGAGUCGCUACUAGCCUAUCUGGAACCCACGAGACCAAUUUUUUAUGCUAUUACUAUUAGAAUUCCAUACCCUUUUGAUUGCGACCCAAAUCAGUUCUAUCGCACCUACAGAGCACUCUAGGGAGCCUUGGUCCGGGUGCUCCGAACUGCACGGAUGAAAAUCAAAAUUUUUUGUGGAAUGUGGUUCAGGGUCGCAAACAGACUAGGAAUAUCCAAAAAUAUCAAAUUUGCGACGGUAUGUUUAAUUAAAAUCCAUUCAACCACACCGUGUUGAAUAUUAUGUG